rnacentral:rRNA from 1 species
CUUAAGCAUAUCAAUAAGCGGAGGAAAAGAAACCAACAGGGAUUGCCUCAGUAACGGCGAGUGAAGCGGCAACAGCUCAAAUUUGAAAUCUGGCUCCUUUGGGGUCCGAGUUGUAAUUUGUAGAGGAUGCUUCGGGUGCGGCACCGGUCUAAGUCCCUUGGAACAGGGCGUCAUAGAGGGUGAGGAUCCCGUAUGUGACCGGCGACCAAGCCCAUGUGAAGCUCCUUCGACGAGUCGAGUUGUUUGGGAAUGCAGCUCAAAAUGGGUGGUAAAUUUCAUCUAAAGCUAAAUACCGGCCAGAGACCGAUAGCGCACAAGUAGAGUGAUCGAAAGAUGAAAAGCACUUUGGAAAGAGAGUCAAAAAGUACGUGAAAUUGUUGAAAGGGAAGCGCUUGUAACCAGACCUGCCGUCGGGUGCUCCGCGGGCAUUCUUGCCCGUCUACUCACCCGCGAUCAGGCCAGCAUCGGUUUUGGCGGCCGGAUAAAGACUCGAGGAAUGUAGCUUCGCUUCGGGGAAGUGUUAUAGCCUCUUGUGCAAUACGGCCAGCCGGGACCGAGGACCGCGCUUCGGCUAGGAUGCUGGCGUAAUGGUUGCAAGCGACCCGUCUUGAAACACGGACCAAGGAGUCUAACAUCUAUGCGAGUGUUUGGGUGUCAAACCCAUGCGCGGAAUGAAAGUGAACGGAGGUGGGAACCCUCAAGGGCGCACCAUCGACCGAUCCGGAAGUUUACGGAUGGAUUUGAGUAUGAGCAUAGCUGUUGGGACCCGAAAGAUGGUGAACUAUGCCUGAAUAGGGUGAAGCCAGAGGAAACUCUGGUGGAGGCUCGCAGCGGUUCUGACGUGCAAAUCGAUCGUCAAAUUUGGGUAUAGGGGUAAGUCCUAGCUAGCCUGUUUUUAGUUUAAUAUUGUUCAGGUACUAACAUGUACCCUAGGCGAAAGACUAAUCGAACCAUCUAGUAGCUGGUUCCUGCCGAAGUUUCGUAAGUUCUUCCGAGGACCACCCCCUAUGAACUCUUGCUAACAAUCUCAACAGCCUCAGGAUAGCAGUAACGUUUUCAGUUUUAUGAGGUAAAGCGAAUGAUUAGAGGCCUGGGGGAUGAAACAUCCUUCACCUAUUCUCAAACUUUCAAUAUGUAAGAAGUCCUUGUUACUUAGUUGAACGUGGACAUUUGAAUGCACCGUUACUAGUGGGCCAUUUUUGGUAAGCAGAACUGGCGAUGCGGGAUGAACCGAACGUGGGGUUAAGGUGCCGGAAUGUACGCUCAUCAGACACCAAGGGGAAGACUUGUGGUGUCUGGCCGGGGGAUAGACCCCCGGCAUCAGUCUGCGAAAGGCGAGGUCUUUGACCUGUAGGGGUCCGCGGUCGCUCCGGCGAUGGCUUACCCUCUGCUGUCCCAUGACCUGGGCAGCUCACAGAUCAAGCAAAGGCCGGCGGCAGUACGCCGUUGGAGAUAUGAUCGGCCCUCGAAGGUUCACUCCGGGGAGCAAGUGCAAAAGGUGUUGAUUCAUCUAGACAGCCGGACGGUGGCCAUGGAAGUCGGAAUCCGCUAAGGAGUGUGUAACAACUCACCGGCCGAAUGAAUCAGCCCUGAAAAUGGAUGGCGCUCAAGCGUG